rnacentral:tRNA from 1 species
GCCGAAGUGGCGGAACUGGUAUACGCGCUGGUCUCAAAAACCAGUGUCUUUACGGGCAUAAGGGUUCGAAUCCCUUCUUCGGCA